rnacentral:lncRNA from 1 species
CAUCGUAAUUGCUAAUCAUGCUUUAGUUUUCGAGCCUUUUUAUUUAUUUAUUUAUUUUAGGUGGGUGUGGGUUGGGGGAAGGGGCUGGUUUAUGAGAUUUGAAAUAUCUGGAGAGUGUUUCUCAAAAAAAGAAAAAAGAAAAAAAAAUCUUGAGAGCACCGGAGAACUACAGAUGUGGCUAGUUUUUGUUUAAGAUAAAAGAUAUAGGGCGCUCAAAUGUUACUAGUUUACCUUUUGCCGCA